rnacentral:rRNA from 1 species
UACGAAGGGGGCUAGCGUUGUUCGGAAUUACUGGGCGUAAAGCGCACGUAGGCGGACAUUUAAGUUGGAGGUGAAAGCCUUGGGCUCAACCCAAGAAUUGCCUUUGAUACUGGAUGUCUCGAGACCGGGAGAGGUGAGUGGAAUUCCGAGUGUAGAGGUGAAAUUCGUAGAUAUUCGGAAGAACACCAGUGGCGAAGGCGGCUCACUGGCCCGGUUCUGACGCUGAGGUGCGAAAGUGUGGGGAGCGAACAGG